UCAUGACCUGAGCCAAAGUGGGACGCUUAACCGACUGAGCCACCCAGGUGCCCCUAAACCCAUUUUUGCCAGUAAAAUAAAAGGGAUUUUAUUUUUAAGAUUAACGUUAGUCCAGAGAAGAGCCCCCAACAGCUCUGAGGCUGCAGAGCAAACAGAUGGUGGCACCCACAGAGCCAUUUGGGCUUGGCUGGUUUCUGGAGGACCAUGGAGUUUGAGGGGCCACCUCAUGUUUCUUUCAGCUCACUUUCCUGGGGAUAAGAUCAGGCCUCUACUCACAUAAGACAUGGAGCUGGACUGCAGUGGUUUUGCUCAACCGCUGACCCUGAACCUCCAAAGAGGCCUCACAAGAGAAAUUUCGGCCAUUAUCUUCCUCCCUGGUGCCCUACUCACGAUACACAGUGAUGCCAAGGCUUGUGUCCUUUUGGAUCCCUGCACAAGAGAAGAAGCACUGCAGAACAGAAUUCUCUG